rnacentral:rRNA from 1 species
AGUGAACGCUGGCGGUAGGCCUAACACAUGCCAGUCGAACGGCAGCACAGUAAUAGCUUGCUCUUACGGGUUGCGAGUGGCGGACGGGUGAGGAAUACAUCGGAAUCUACUUUUUCGUGGGGGAUCACGUAGGUAAACUUACUCUAAUACCGCAUCCGACCUACGGUUGAAAGCAGGGGAUCUUCGCACCUUGCGCGGUUGAAUGAGCCGAUGUCGGAUUAGCUAGUUGGCGGGGUAAAGGCCCACCAAGGGGACGAUCCGUAGCUGGUGUGAGAGGGGGAACAGCCACAGUGAAGGUGAGAGACGGCACAGAGACCUACGGGAGGCAGAAGUGGGGAAGAUUGGAAAAUGGGGGGAAGAUUGAACCAGCCAUACCAGGUGGGUGAAGAAGGCCUUCGGGUUGUAAAACCCUUUUGUGGGGAAAAAAAGGCAGCGGGUUAAAACAAGGCUGUGCUAAGGGUACCGAAAAAGAAGGAACGGCUAAAUUUGGG